GGAGAGGUCGCAUAGCGGCCGAGUGCAGCGGUUUACUAAACCGCCAACCUUCACGGGUUCGUGGGUUCGAAUCCCACCCUCUCCG
rnacentral:tRNA from 1 species